rnacentral:rRNA from 1 species
AUACGUAGGGGGCGAGCGUUGUCCGGAAUGACUGGGCGUGAAGGGCGUGUAGGCGGCUGUCUAAGUCUGGAGUGAAAGUCCUGCUUUCAAGGUGGGAAUUGCUUUGGAGACUGGAUGGCUUGAGUGCGGAAGAGGUAAGUGGAAUUCCCAGUGUAGCGGUGAAAUGCGUAGAGAUUGGGAGGAACACCAGUGGCGAAGGCGACUUACUGGGCCGUAACUGACGCUGAGGCGCGAAAGCGUGGGGAGCGAACAGGAUUAGAUACCCUGGUAGUCCACGCGGUAAACGAUGAAUGCCAGGUGUUGCGGGUAUCGACCCCUGCAGUGCCGGAGUAAACACAAUAAGCAUUCCGCCUGGGGAGUACGGCCGCAAGGUUGAAACUCAAAGGAAUUGACGGGG